UGAGGCCAGCGCCCGGGUCGGGGCGUUCUUGUGGCAGAGUCGGUCUUGUUCUUGCGAUCCAGUCCUUUCUGGGACCUAGCACCGAGCGCUCCCCGUGCACCAGGCAGGACAAUGGGCUGCAGGGCUGACCCCGCAACUGCGUGAGUCCACCCUUGCACCGGUUCUGCCCUGGAACUGUUCACAUUCCAGUGCAGACUCCCUGAUGGGCCGCCCAUAUGGAUAAGGAUGAAGUCACAGCAUCCUUUUUGAGGCAGCCUGAGAGUCUAGACUCAGAUUUGCUUACUCGGUUCCCUGCUGUGGUGCAGCAUUGGUGUGUGGGGGCUUUCAGCAGCCGUGAACUUGGGGAAAGCAGCAUGGGGUAGACAUGAGUAAAGAUGUGGGUGGGAGGGUGUGUCUGGAAUCUGAAGGCUCAGAGGCUCCUGUCCAGGAUGCACAUUGCAGGGCGGGGUGGGGGGAGUGGGCCGCCCUGUGGAGAACCUGCUGGACAGGACAGGGGCAAGGCAGAGAGGUCACCCAUCCCACACACUUGUCUGUUCUUCCACUGGUGUGUGCUGGCCCCAGCCUGUUCCAGGGAUUCGGGAAUGGACAGACUGGCUCCUGCCCUCAAACAGCUGACAUACUCUUGAGAGGAGCAGAUAAAAGCCAAGUAAAAACCAAACAAGCAGGAUGGACUGUGAGCAUCUCAUCAUCUGAGGAAGACCCUGGGUGGAGAUCACUGAAGGGUUUCUUCAAGAUAUGGUGGUCCCAGCGGUGUGCCGAUGGAUUCUGGGUGCGGAAUGGUCCUUCAUGGAUGGUGUUUUACCUUGAUUCAAAACUUGAACAGCUUAAAUGCUUAUGCUGAAGAUACUCGCCCAAAUUUUUAAAUAAAGUG